GUGUCAGCAGCCGCGGUAAUACGUAGGGAGCGAGCGUUGUCCGGAUUCAUUGGGCGUAAAGAGCUCGUAGGCGGCUUGGUAAGUCGGAUGUGAAACCUCCAGGCUCAACCUGGAGUCGCCAUCCGAUACUGCUAUGGCUAGAGUCCGGUAGGGGCCCACGGAAUUCCUGGUGUAGCGGUGAAAUGCGCAGAUAUCAGGAGGAACACCGAUGGCGAAGGCAGCAAACUGGGCAUUAACUGACGCUGAGGCGCGAAAGCGUGGGUAGCAAACAGGAUUAGAAACCCCCGUAGUCC
rnacentral:rRNA from 1 species